GACGAACGCUGGCGGCGUGCUUAACACAUGCAAGUCGAACGGAAAGGCCCCUUCGGGGGUACUCGAGUGGCGAACAGGUGAGUAACACGUGAGUAACCUGCCCUUGACUUCGGGAUAACUUCAGGAAACUGGGGCUAAUACCGGAUAGGAAUCCUUGCUGCAUGGUGGGGGUUGGAAAGCUUCGGCGGUUUUGGAUGGACUCGCGGCUUAUCGGCUUGUUGGUGGGGUAGUGGCUUACCAAGGCUUUGACGGGUAGCCGGCCUGAGAGGGCGACCGGCCACAUUGGGACUGAGAUACGGCCCAGACUCCUACGGGAGGCAGCAGUGGGGAAUAUUGCACAAUGGGCGGAAGCCUGAUGCAGCAACGCCGCGUGCGGGAUGACGGCCUUCGGGUUGUAAACCGCUUUCAGCAGGGGCGAAGCUUGUGGUGACGGUACCUGCAGAAGAAGCACCGGCUAACUACGUG
rnacentral:rRNA from 1 species